rnacentral:rRNA from 1 species
GAUGAACGCUGGCGGCGUGCCUAAUACAUGCAAGUCGAGCGAACGGACGAGAAGCUUGCUUCUCUGAUGUUAGCGGCGGACGGGUGAGUAACACGUGGAUAACCUACCUAUAAGACUGGGAUAACUUCGGGAAACCGGAGCUAAUACCGGAUAAUAUUUUGAACCGCAUGGUUCAAAAGUGAAAGACGGUCUUGCUGUCACUUAUAGAUGGAUCCGCGCUGCAUUAGCUAGUUGGUAAGGUAACGACUUACCAAGGCAACGAUGCAUAGCCGACCUGAGAGGGUGAUCGGCCACACUGGAACUGAGACACGGUCCAGACUCCUACGGGAGGCAGCAGUAGGGAAUCUUCCGCAAUGGGCGAAAGCCUGACGGAGCAACGCCGCGUGAGUGAUGAAGGUCUUCGGAUCGUAAAACUCUGUUAUUAGGGAAGAACAUAUGUGUAAGUAACUGUGCACAUCUUGACGGCACCUAAUCAGAAAGCCACGGCUAACUACGUG